AAAAGCGCUUAAGCGCUUCAUUUGUUAAAAAUAAUUCUCUCUCUUCAAGAAUAACCAGGUUUGCUUUGCAACUCCUUUCAUCUUCUCCGUUCCCAACCUACCGGAGAAGGGGUUGGUCGCCGGCCAACGGCGGCGGCGCCACCUUCUUCUCCGGCGAAUCACUUCCCCAAAAACCAAAACCUAAACACUAACCUUCCUAUUUCAACCUGGCGGUUACGGAUCCGGCCAUAUUUUUCCCAAGAAAAACCUUAAACCAACAGAUCCAAACUCACCCACACCAAACAAACAAAAGUUAGGCAGAACAAACAAAGCUUUUAGGCUAACGAAAUGAGAUCAAGAUGGAUAAAUAGGAAGCUUGAGAAAGGAACCAACCAAUCGUACUCGAAGCUUCGACGAGGGUCCUUCAGCGUGGUUUGUGUUGAUCUUGUUCGGAAGCACGCCGUCGAUGAUGCCUUCUCCCUCCCGUCUCCAGAUAAGCUUUCUCCUUCUGUUUUCGUUCUUAGGGUUUUUGAGAAAUGUUAUGGCUGUUGUGUUCUGGGUUUGCAAAAAAUCGCUCCGUUGUUCUUUCUAUAUUAACUUUUUUUUAAAGAAUUUUUUGAAAGUAUUUUGCUGUGUGUUUGGGUUCUAAGAAAAACGAACUGUUCUGGAUGUUUUUUUGUUGUUGGUUCUUUAAGGUUCUCUUUGAAAUAUUGUUGUGCGUUCUUGUUUCGGGUUUUAGAAAAAAUUCGUGUUGUGUAUCUUGUUGUGUGGUUCUUGUUUUUUUUGGAUCCUGAGAAAAAUAUCUUACUGUCUCUAUUUGCUCACCUCCUUUUGGAUCCGUUUAUGAAGGAUUUGUUAAGUCUAAAAAAACUCCUCUUUCCAUUUGUCCCAUCCCAGAUUAUGUGGGAUUUAAUUUCUAUUGAUUUGUUCUGUUUUAAGCUAAUGUCAAAAGUGAUUUUUUGAGUAUUCAUGUUAACCUGCUGGAUAAAGCCUCAAACUGAAUGAUUCAUUUAGUUGUUUUUCAGCUCUCUAAGUGCUUUCGAAAAGUGCUUUUAAAAUAAGCUAUUUUUGUUCUCUGCAGAUUACAACUCUAAGAUGACCUGCUGGAAUGGAAGGUGGUUGCUCCAAGCUUCAAGACAACCUGUUUUCGUGACUAAGUCCAAAGAGAUUUCAUCCUAAUUGCUUGGUUUUGGUCAUUAGGAACCUAUUUUCAUUUGUAGCAAUUUUUUUUACUGUAAUUACUUAGUUUAGUUUUUUUUAGACAAAAUGUGUGUUUGGAUUAUUUGGGACUUAUUGAAUAAAAUUUUAAUUAUGUAAUUACCUUUUAAUCUUUCAAAAUUUAACUCAAUAUUUAUUUAUGUUAAUCAUUCAACUUUUAAAAACAAUACACUUCUAACUUAAGCAUAAUGACUUAAUCUAAAGAAC
rnacentral:lncRNA from 1 species